UGGGGAAUAUUGGACAAUGGGCGCAAGCCUGAUCCAGCCAUGCCGCGUGAGUGAUGAAGGCCUUAGGGUUGUAAAGCUCUUUCGCCGGUGAAGAUAAUGACGGUAACCGGAGAAGAAGCCCCGGCUAACUUCGUGCCAGCAGCCGCGGUAAUACGAAGGGGGCUAGCGUUGCUCGGAAUCACUGGGCGUAAAGCGCACGUAGGCGGAUCGUUAAGUCAGGGGUGAAAUCCUGGAGCUCAACUCCAGAACUGCCCUUGAUACUGGCGAUCUCGAGUUCGAGAGAGGUUGGUGGAACUCCGAGUGUAGAGGUGAAAUUCGUAGAUAUUCGGAAGAACACCAGUGGCGAAGGCGGCCAACUGGCUCGAUACUGACGCUGAGGUGCGAAAGCGUGGGGAGCAAAACAGGAUUAGAUACCCUGGUAGUCCACGCCGUAAAACGAUGGAUGCUAGCCGUUGGGGGGUUUGACCUCUCAGUGGCGCAGCUAACGCCUUAAGCAUCCCGCCUGGGGAGUACGGUCGCAAGAUUAAAAACUUAAGGGAAUUGACGGGGUCAUAGCUG
rnacentral:rRNA from 1 species